rnacentral:misc_RNA from 1 species
CGGUGCUUUUAUGUUAAACGGAUCGAGUUUACCGCCAUGAUCUGAUCAGCUAUCGGUGCCGCCGGAAUAUCAGUAUUUAAGAUUGCAUACAACCCUCAUGUACACGAUUUUUCACUCGGUAUGGAAUGGCAUAAUAUAUCGUUCUAUGAAAAAUACGGCUGUCGUAAUCCAGUCGUUCGGUCAGCAUGGCUCAAUGUAACCACGCAUAUUUAAGAAGGAGGAUGUCGCGAAUCCUAUAAACGCCGAUUUCUCGUUAAACAUGUGAACUCUUUUUCUGCGACGCACACCCACAACGUACACGUAUAUAUUUACAUAGAUUUACAUAUAUAUAAGCAUAUAUGUAUAUAUAUGUAAAUUUAGAUGACUGUAAAUAAUGGUGUUUUGGGCUAUCGUUUAUUUGAUAGCGAUAUUUCUGCGUUUCAGUUCCAUACAAGCAAAAUCAGAGUCUCAUGGUUACUGUGCUCCAUAUAGUGGAGAGAUCUGUAAAAAAUAUCUUGCUGGUAUUGGGAAAGUAUGGUUCAAUGAUUCCAAGGACAAUCCUGGUGGAUUGUUAAAUGAACAGAUUACUACAGAUCUUUGGGAUGAACUGAUACUAAGACUUGUGGAGCCAUGUCGUUCAGCAGCAGAGAAAAUGCUAUGCAUGUAUGCAUUUCCUCUGUGUCACGAGUCAGUAGGUUUACCUUUGUGUUACGAAGAUUGCAUGGCCAUACGUCUUCAGUUUUGCUUCACCGACUGGGCUAUUAUCGAGGACAACAAGCAACGAGACAUUUACAUUCGCUCACGUGGACAUUUUGUGCUACCUGAAUGUGAGAGUUUGCCCAAAGUAAAUAAAACGGUGCCUGCGUGCUCGCACGUGCACCUGACUGACAUGGAUGAGGAGGAUGUAACUUAUGAUUGUAUCAGAGGUAACGGUAGAUUUUACAUGGGGAAGAUAAAUAAAACCAAAUUCGGACUGAACUGUCAAUCAUGGAGCGCACAAAUACCACACAGCCACGAUAAGCCUCCUGAUGUCUUCCCGCAGAUUCGUUACGGCGAGAAUUACUGUAGAAACGCGGGCGGUGACGAACCAAUGCCAUGGUGCUUCACGACUGAUACUUCAAUACGCUGGCAACAUUGCGAUAUUCCUGUAUGUGAUAAUGUUACAAGUAAAGUAUUAGAAGGUGAACCGAACGAUCCAGAGAUGGAAAUGUUGGUCACACCAGCGAUGAUAUUCAUGCUGUCGUUCGUGGGCUUCGCAAUUGUAGUUGGCAUAUUUCUCUUUGUCCUGUUCAUUAUGCUAAGCCAAAAAUUGCACAAACGCCAACGGGGCUACAACCCGACUGAUAAUCAAGAUGUGAACAUUGACCUGGACAAAUUGCCAAAUAACGAAGCCUAUCACAAGACGAGCGCGCAGCUGAAUCCGAAACUGGAGAAGCUCGAGUUCCCGCGGAACAAUAUCAUUUACGUUCGUGACUUGGGGCAAGGUGCGUUUGGCCGCGUGUUCCAAGCGAAAGCGCCAGGACUGGUGCUGGGCGAGGAGUUCACUAAUGUCGCUGUGAAGAUGCUGAAGGAGGAGGCGUCGGAUGACUUACUAGUGGACUUUGAGCGGGAGGCGUGUCUGCUUGCCGAAUUUGACCACCCGAAUAUCGUAAAGCUGCUCGGCGUGUGUGCAUUGGGGCGACCCAUGUGCUUGUUGUUCGAGUACAUGGGCCGCGGCGAUCUGAACGAGUUUCUACGCUCUUGCUCGCCGAGUAGCUACGUCAUCCGUAGCACGCAAGACCGUGAGGACGGCAGCGCGAUGGAUUCGCGGCUCUCGCACAUGGACCUGAUCAACAUCGCGUUGCAGGUGGCAUCCGGCAUGGUAUAUCUGUCCGACCGGAAAUUUGUACACCGCGAUCUCGCCACGCGGAACUGUCUGAUAAACGAUCAAAUGAUCGUGAAGAUCGCGGAUUUCGGGCUGUCGCAGAAGAUUUAUCUGCAGGAUUAUUAUAAAGGUGACGAACAGGACGCCAUACCUGUGAGGUGGAUGCCGCUCGAAAGCAUACUUUACAACAAGUAUACUGUCGAAUCUGACGUGUGGGCGUUCGCAGUGUGUCUCUGGGAGAUCUUCAGCUUCGCGCUGCAACCGUAUUAUGGGAUGACGCACGAAGAAGUGGUCAAGUACAUUAAGGAGGGCGAUGUAUUACGCUGCCCUGACAAUACGCCUCAGUCUAUAUACUAUCUGAUGAAGCUCUGCUGGAACCGGCGACCGUCUGACCGUCCUACCUUCCGUACGAUCUACCAGACUCUCGAUGGCAUCAAGCAUGAACUGGAGGCGGAGAACAAGUCGGACAGCGUCCCGCUACGCAUUCGCGUGUGAAGGAUCAAGCUGAUGAUGAGGAUGACGAUGAUGGUAUCGGCCUCUCUUUCUCUCUCUCUCUCUCUCUCUCUCUUUCUCUCUCUCUUUCUCUAUCUCUCUCGAUAAUGGCGCCUCAUCGAUUAAGAUCGUCGAUUAAAAGUAAGCGACAUCACUUGUGUGUGCGUGUGUGCGUGUAACUACACUUCAUGUUUAUACAUUUUCAGGUAAGUAACUUCGUGUUGUACUAUAAAUGUGACAUGGAAUGCCUUCUUAGUUGGAUUCGCUCGGACGUGUCGCGUCGUGCGGAAUGAGAAAUGGACCAAUUACACUUGUGGAAGACUUGCGAGACGGAAGACGCGAUAUUUUCACGAUGCGUUCAUAUUUCUUCGAGAGCAUUUUAUCGCUGCUUCUGAGACGGUCGUCUGUCUGUAUCGGGACAUAUGAUACUACUCUUUCAUUCUCAGAAAUCACACUCAUCGUCUUCUUUUUUCUUUCUUUCUUUUUUUUCUUGAUAUCGUGUUAUCAAGUCUAAAUCGUUUUUCACUCGCUCGUUUCCACUUGACGUUCGAUUACGCUUCCAGUUAUGCAUCCGGAGUUAUUAAGCAACGCUUUUCCAAUGUGUGAGAUAUUACCGAGUCUGUACAAAUAUGUAAAAGUGAUGUGGCUAUAAAAGUGCAUUUACAGUUAGCGACGUUACGCAGAAUGAUCUUCGUGAAGUUUCAUCUGUGUUUCAGAUCGAGAUAAUUCCUAGGAUUGUUGUGACUGAGAAAGUUCGCGUGAACACGGGUCCGACUUUUGAAUACUUUGAAGCGACUUCUUUACUUAGAACGAUCCAUCCAGAGGAAUUGUCCUCCGAAACGCCGAUGAAACCUAGCGGAUCGUUCGAUAUUUAGAGGCUCCUUCAUUGUUAGACAUUAGGUUGUUAGAUCGUUCGCUGUACCAAAAAAAAACAAUACCAUUCUGGAUGCCAUUGAAAUUUCACUCAGGAUAGGAAAACGUUCGACUACAGGUCAAAUCAGAACGAUUAAUGUAGCAAAACUUUUAUUGGAAAAGAACUAUGAAAAGUAUAAUAAUUUCGAUAUUUGAAUCUUCCCCUAGUCUACGGUCCGCAUUCAUUGAAUCUUCUGUCGAUUCUUUUCAGAAAGAAUUACUGCGAAUGAUGCAAGGAUAUGGUGAUCACGUUAGAUCCUUUGAACAAGUAGCUGCUUAUCUCUGCUGACACACACAUACACAAAAGGUGUAAAUCCAAUUGUGCAACCUCCACUUUGCGGUACACUUUGGCUAAUAACGGCGGUAUUGUAACUUUCAAGCCCCAUAACUCGGAAAAUACUCAAUAACACAUAACUUAUUUAUAGUGUUUUGGAAAGCUCUCGAGAUGAGCUACAAGAAUAUGUAAUGAAAAAUAGGGGAUUCUAUUUAAAAAAACAAAGUUGAACUUCGUAUAACCUUGGAACGUUCACUCAAGAUCAAUCCAAUGACACCAUCUCAUGUCCCCCCUCGAACCAAAUAACUUUUGUCUGAAACAUUUCUUUCUAAAAUGCAUAGUUUAUGAAAUAUUCGACCGUUUCCAGAUUUUUGGUACAUCCUGUAUAUGUAUAUAUACAUAGGGUAUUUUAAAAGAGUGGGUGGACUAUAUGUAGUUAUAUUUUUGUCAUCAAGAUAAACAAAACAAUUCCUGUAAACAUAACGCUUAAUUAAGAAGUUAAUGCCGAAUCAAAAUUAUAAAAGAAU